AUAUCCCCUGAGCGGUUUCGCAUUUUUUCACUUUAGUACCUUGUGAUUUAAAGUGUAUCAAGUUAGUACCAUAUGGUUUCGUACUUUCUCAUUUUAGUAUUCUGUGGUUUCAAGUGUAUCAAGUUAGUACUCUGUGGUUUCGCAUUUUUUCACUUUAGUAUCAUGUGGUUUAAUAUUUCGUUAAAUUAUAUACUCCGAAAUGGAUAAUAAAAAAAAAAAAAUUGAAAUCACAGAAUACUAACUUGAUAUAAAAAUGAAACCACAGAGUACUAACUUGAUACACUUGAAACCAUAAGGUACUAAAAUGAGAAAGUGCAAAACGACAUGGUACUAACUUGAUACACUUUAAAUCACAUGGUACUAAAAUAAAAAAGUAUGAAAUCGCAUGGGGUGUAUUUGAAGUUUUUCCAAAGAUAAUUGAUAAAUAG
rnacentral:lncRNA from 1 species